CUUACACAUGCAAGUCGAACGGCAGCACGGACUUCGGUCUGGUGGCGAAUGGCGAACGGGUGAGUAAUAUAUCGGAACGUGCCCUGGAGUGGGGGAUAACUAGUCGAAAGACUAGCUAAUACCGCAUACGAUCUAUGGAUGAAAGUGGGGGAUCGCAAGACCUCAUGCUCGUGGAGCGGCCGAUAUCUGAUUAGCUAGUUGGUGGGGUAAAAGCCUACCAAGGCAUCGAUCAGUAGCUGGUCUGAGAGGACGACCAGCCACACUGGGACUGAGACACGGCCCAGACUCCUACGGGAGGCAGCAGUGGGGAAUUUUGGACAAUGGGGGCAACCCUGAUCCAGCAAUGCCGCGUGAGUGAAGAAGGCCUUCGGGUUGUAAAGCUCUUUUGUCAGGGAAGAAACGGUCCGGGCUAAUAUCCUGGGCUAAUGACGGUACCUGAAGAAUAAGCACCGGCUAACUACGUGCCAGCAGCCGCGGUAAUACGUAGGGUGCAAGCGUUAAUCGGAAUUACUGGGCGUAAAGCGUGCGCAGGCGGUUGUGCAAGACAGAUGUGAAAUCCCCGGGCUUAACCUGGGAAUUGCAUUUGUGACUGCACGGCUAGAGUGUGUCAGAGGGGGGUAGAAUUCCACGUGUAGCAGUGAAAUGCGUAGAGAUGUGGAGGAAUACCGAUGGCGAAGGCAGCCCCCUGGGAUAACACUGACGCUCAUGCACGAAAGCGUGGG
rnacentral:rRNA from 1 species